rnacentral:rRNA from 1 species
UACGUAGGGCGCAAGCGCUAUCCGGAAUUAUUGGGCGUAAAGAGCUCGUAGGCGGUGUGUCACGUCGGCCGUGAAAACCUGCAGCUUAACUGUGGGCGUGCGGUCGAUACGGGCAUCACUGGAGUUCGGCAGGGGAGACUGGAAUUCCUGGUGUAGCGGUGAAAUGCGCAGAUAUCAGGAGGAACACCGGUGGCGAAGGCGGGUCUCUGGGCCGAUACUGACGCUGAGGAGCGAAAGCGUGGGGAGCAAACAGG